AUAUGAGUGAGACGAGCAGAAUAAUCUUGGGAUAAAGGUCUUCUAAGUUAUCCAGACUUAUCCGGAAGCCAAGGAGGCACAGCUUGACAAGGAGAGCUGUGAAGACGCUUGAGGAUUUAACCAGCUUUAAGAGAGAAUCGCCUUCGCAAAAUUCCAAGAUUGAGCUGUUCUGGGAUAGUGAUGACCAAGGCUCCAGAGUCCAGAAAAGAACAAAGAGGGUAAAUGUUACAUUUAAAGAUACUACAAGUCCUAGAUCAGCCUCCAGCAGAUCUCCAGGUUCUCCUAAAGAAGAUGCAGUGAUGAAAGCUAAGGGUGGCUCAUCUUCGCAGCAGCUGGGAGCAAUUCGUCUCAAGCCAAGCGAAGAGAGCAAUAAAGGUAAAAAAGGGGUUGUUACUUUCAAUAUGCAAGGUAUAACUUACACCCAGAGAGAUUCAAGGAGAGGAAAAUAAAAUGUGAAAAAAUUGUAGUAGCACAUUUAAAUGGAGAACCAACCUUUCAUCAUCUAACAUUAAUUUUCCUUCAAAAUUUUGAAAGUGAAGAAUUGUGUUAAUUUAUUCAGCAGAAGUGUACUACUUAUCAGAACUGUGCCAUGGCUUAAGGCUUCAUGAACUGAGAAAAGAAAUAGGUGUAGGAUUGUCUUAACAAUGAAAUUGAGAAAAGAAAAAAAUAAUUAACUUUCCUAAUGAAUUUCUUAUGCAGAGUAUUUAAAAGCUCUUAUAGAUAGAUUUUUAGUUUUUAAUGAAUUACAUUGUCUUUAUAUGGAUGUCACACCAGGUAUGAUUUUUAAAUUUUAUUAUUUUUUUUAUGCUCUUGGCAUCCUGUUUGUGCUCAAGAUGUAUGCAAUAUGAAUAGAAGACCAUAAACAUGGUAGCAGAUUUUAGCACUUUGUGUGUUUAUUAAGUAUCUGUUACUUGAUGUAAAUGUACCACAAAUGUGUUCUUGUAUGAGAAACAUGUACUACUACUUGUCUAAACAUCUGAUGGUAAUACUCCUGGAAGCAGUAUACAAGGCUAAACAUUAGUUAUAUGUUUGAUCCACACAAGAAUCCAUUCUUACUUGUAACAAUGUAUGUGAAAGUAUGUGUAGUUGUUUAGAAGCAGGAAAAAAAAAAACAUUAAAUGAGUUGAGAGAGAUUUGAGAAAUUCAAAUAAAUUUUCUCUUUUUCUUUUUUUAUAUUUCUUUAGAAUACAUCAUUAUAAGUUGCAAUGCAAAGGGUAGAAGUUUUAUCAUAGUUUUGCUUUAAGUGGUCCAAUUAUUUUUUGAUAGAAUACUUUUUGAGUUUAAAGUUGUAAGAUUUCUUGUGGAUGCAAGUGAUUUAUCCCAUUGAAGUGUUGAACAGUCAUAUCAGGUAAUAAAGGUGUUGCAGCAUUGAAUAGAAGUCAUACUUAAUCUUACUAGGUAUGGAAAUCGCACUUAUCCUACAGCCAAUUCAUAUACCCUUUACUUUCUUAGGGUUGCAUAGUGAAUAGCAAAUAAUCUUAAUAUAAUCUACUGCUAGGUAUGUUUGGUGCUACUUUGGAUGUGGCAGUGAUAAGAUGAUGUUGAAAGGUGUACCAUUGUUGAGAUCAAUAUUGAAAUGAAACUCUUCAACACUAUAUUUUCUUGAGGAAGAAAUAGAUGUUGGCAACAUAGCUGAAACAGGAUUUUGAAAUAGGUGACCUGUCAGGGUUCUCUUCCCAAUAUUCAGAUGUCUUGAGCAUAUGUAUUGUCACUAAAGUUUGGUUAAGUCACUAUGCUGUGAAUUUAUACCAUUCAGGGCACCCUUGCUGAUACAACAAAGUUGAUAUGUAAAAUAUUUACAUUCUGGGGAGUUCAAGAGCACAAUGAGCACCACUUAAGGUAGCUUGAUUAAGGGAACUGUCACUGUACCCUUAAGGGGGCUGUCGUGCUGAUUUUUUUACGAAUAUUUUCAAAAAUACUUGGGGGGGGGGGAUCUCCCAUAAUCUAGUAGGCUUUGGCAAUCCCAUGAUGUAAUAUUUCCUCUAAUAAAUUAAGGAGUUAUGACUAAAUCUCUGACCCUCCUACUUCAAUGUUUACUUUGUUGCAUCCGUGCAAAUAUACUAGACAAAUUUUAUGUAAUUUUUUUUAUUUUUUUA